CUGAGGAGAAAUCUUCAAUGUCAUCGUCAACGGCACGAGGCGACGGCGUUUUGGUGGUCGGGGUGGUGGUGGGACCUCGCCUGAGGCGCUUGAGGAUCCGGGGCGGUUCAGGCCGGGAUUCAGGAUCCGAAUCCAUGACCUCAGGUCCGAAAUCUUCGUCACGGGGAGCCGGUGUUUGGGUCGGGUGUUUGUCCGGAGCUAUUUGGGGCUCCGAAUCGAGACCCAGAUCGAGUCCUAGGGAGAACGAGGGAGGUUCGUAUCCCGCCAUGAAAGAAACAGGAAGAAAGAGCUCAGUUUUGAACUUGGGGGAUAUUUUUAUUAGAGGGAAAAAUCUUGUUCAAAAAAAAAAAAAAAAAAAUUUCUAUGCCCAGUCUUUCAUGACCCAUUUCUCACUAUAUGAAAAUUUUUAUAUUGUUUAUAUUGUUUACAGUUGCGUGAGACUCAGAUUACUCUUCGAUAAUAGAACAUUCUAAUGUUGAUUUUGUUUUUUUAAUGGAUCAUUUUGAAGGUUUU